rnacentral:tRNA from 1 species
GGAGAUGUAUCGAAGAGGUCAUAACGAGGCUGUCUCGAAAACAGUUAGUCAAGCAAAACUUGGCCCGUGGGUUCGAAUCCCACCGUCUCCGCCA